rnacentral:tRNA from 1 species
GGCUCCGUAGCUCAGUUGGAUAGAGCAGCCGCCUUCUAAGCGGCAGGUCGCAGGUUCGAGUCCUGCCGGAGUCGCCA